rnacentral:tRNA from 1 species
GGCGGUGUAGCUCAGUUGGCGAGAGCAUGCGGUUCAUACCCGUAGGGUCAGUGGUUCAAAUCCACUCACCGCCACCA